rnacentral:rRNA from 1 species
GAUGAACGCUGGCGGCGUGCCUAAUACAUGCAAGUCGAGCGAACAGACGAGGAGCUUGCUCCUCUGCCGUUAGCGGCGGACGGGUGAGUAACACGUGGAUAACCUACCUAUAAGACUGGGAUAACUUCGGGAAACCGGAGCUAAUACCGGAUAAUAUAUUGAACCGCAUGGUUCAUUAGUGAAAGACGGUUUUGCUGUCACUUAUAGAUGGAUCCGCGCCGCAUUAGCUAGUUGGUAAGGUAACGGCUUACCAAGGCGACGAUGCGUAGCCGACCUGAGAGGGUGAUCGGCCACACUGGAACUGAGACACGGUCCAGACUCCUACGGGAGGCAGCAGUAGGGAAUCUUCCGCAAUGGGCGAAAGCCUGACGGAGCAACGCCGCGUGAGUGAUGAAGGUCUUCGGAUCGUAAAACUCUUUUAGUAGGGAAGAACAAAUGUGUAAGUAACUAUGCACGUCUUGACGGUACCUAAUCAGAAAGCAACGGCUAACUACGUG